GCUCCAGUGGCAUAGUGGUUAGGGCGUCCGCCUCGGAUGCGAGAUGUUGUGGGUUCGAUUCCCUGUCGAGUCA